rnacentral:rRNA from 1 species
AAUAUUGGACAAUGGGCGAAAGCCUGAUCCAGCCAUGCCGCGUGUGUGAAGAAGGNCUNNGGAUUNUNAAGCACUUUAAGUUGNNNNNAAGGGUUGUAGAUUAAUACCCUGCACUUUUGACGUUACCAACAGAAUAAGCACCGGCUAAAUGCGUGCCAGCAGCCGCGGUAAUACGUAGGGUGCAAGCGUUAAUCGGAAUUACUGGGCGUAAAGCGUGCGCAGGCGGUUCGGAAAGAAAGAUGUGAAAUCCCAGGGCUUAACCUUGGAACUGCAUUUUUAACUACCGGGCUAGAGUGUGUCAGAGGGAGGUGGAAUUCCGCGUGUAGCAGUGAAAUGCGUAGAUAUAGGAAGGAACACCAGUGGCGAAGGCGACCACCUGGGCUAAUACUGACACUGAGGUGCGAAAGCGUGGGGAGCAAACAGG